rnacentral:rRNA from 1 species
AAUCAACGCUGGCGGCGUGCCUCAGACAUGCAAGUCGAACGAUUAAAGCUCUCUUCGGAGAGUGCAUAGAGUGGCGCACGGGUGAGUAACACGUAAGUAAUCUACCCUCGAGUGGGGAAUAACAGUCGGAAACGACUGCUAAUACCGCAUAAUGCAGCGGCACCGCAAGGUGACAGUUGUUAAAGGAGCAAUCCGCUUGAGGAGGAGCUUGCGGCAGAUUAGCUAGUUGGUAAGGUAACGGCUUACCAAGGCUACGAUCUGUAUCCGGUCUAAGAGGACGGUCGGACACACUGACACUGAAUAACGGGUCAGACUCCUACGGGAGGCAGCAGUCGGGAAUUUUGGGCAAUGGGCGAAAGCCUGACCCAGCAACGCCGCGUGAAGGAUGAAGUAUUUCGGUAUGUAAACUUCGAAAGAAUGGGAAGAAUAAAUGACGGUACCAUUUAUAAGCUCCGGCUAACUACGUGCCAGCAGCCGCCGUAAAAC